GAUGAACGCUAGCUACAGGCUUAACACAUGCAAGUCGAGGGGAAACGACAUCGAAAGCUUGCUUUUGAUGGGCGUCGACCGGCGCACGGGUGAGUAACGCGUAUCCAACCUGCCCACCACUUGGGGAUAACCUUGCGAAAGUAAGACUAAUACCCAAUGACGUCUCUAGAAGCCAUCUGAAAGAGAUUAAAGAUUUAUCGGUGAUGGAUGGGGAUGCGUCUGAUUAGCUUGUUGGCGGGGUAACGGCCCACCAAGGCGACGAUCAGUAGGGGUUCUGAGAGGAAGGUCCCCCACAUUGGAACUGAGACACGGUCCAAACUCCUACGGGAGGCAGCAGUGAGGAAUAUUGAUCAAUGGACGAGAGUCUGAACCAGCCAAGUAGCGUGCAGGAUGACGGCCCUAUGGGUUGUAAACUGCUUUUAUAAGGGAAUAAAGUGAGUCUCGUGAGACUUUUUGCAUGUACCUUAUGAAUAAGGACCGGCUAAUUCCGUG
rnacentral:rRNA from 1 species